GAUGAACGCUGGCGGCGUGCCUAAUACAUGCAAGUCGAGCGAACAGACGAGAGUGCUUGCACUCUCUGACGUUAGCGGCGGACGGGUGAGUAACACGUGGGUAACCUACCUAUAAGACUGGGAUAACUUCGGGAAACCGGAGCUAAUACCGGAUAAUAUUUAGCUUCGCAUGAAGCAAUAGUGAAAGACGGUUCUGCUGUCACUUAUAGAUGGACCCGCGGUGUAUUAGCUAGUUGGUGAGGUAACGGCUCACCAAGGCAACGAUACAUAGCCGACCUGAGAGGGUGAUCGGCCACACUGGGACUGAGACACGGCCCAGACUCCUACGGGAGGCAGCAGUAGGGAAUCUUCCGCAAUGGACGAAAGUCUGACGGAGCAAUGCCGCGUGAGUGAAGAAGGUUUUCGGAUCGUAAAACUCUGCUGUAAGGGAAGAACAAGUACGUUAGUAACUGAACGUACCUUGACAGUACCUUACCAGAAAGCCACGGCUAACUACGUG
rnacentral:rRNA from 1 species